rnacentral:misc_RNA from 1 species
UUUUCUUUCUAUCCUCUAACUUAACAUGUUCUACUUGUCUAAUUGGAGCCUCAACAUAUCUAGAUUUAGAUAAUGCUUCUAAAAUAACUUUAUUUUGGGGUCUUUUAGUUUCUAGCCAUUCUCUAGUUACAUACUUUUCUAUUAAUAAUAAUAAUAAUAAUUGUCUUAUGCAAUGCCAAGUACUUUUAACUCAAUUCAGACUUCACAACUGGAUAUGAUUUUUCUAAUUUUGGAAGCACAAAAAAGUGCAGCCUAUAUUAUUGAUUCCUUUGUCUUUUGAAUUUGUCCAUCAUGAUUAAUCCUAUUCUUCUUUUUUCUUUUUCUGAUUUUGUUAUAAGCAACUUCUGUUCUUCAUUUUGAAAUAUUUAAUCUGACACAUCAUUGUUGUCUCACAAAGUACAUUAUUACAUAAACAAUAUAAACUCAUUAUGGUACAAAUUAUCUUACUAAAUUCGAGAUUCACUGUUUCCUUAAACAAUUGCUGUGUCAUUUUGCAGAAAUGGGGAAGUGAUCAUCUUGCCCUUGUGUGUGAACUAGCCUUUGCAGACGAAGACAACAUGACCUGAGUCUUCAAUUGCAGAAAUGCUGACAUGAUAAAAUUUUCAGCCUCUUUUACAACCAGCAUGAAGCAAGAAGGUGGACUUUUUUAUUUGACAAAUGACACACAGGACAAGGACAACGCACACCCUUUAACAAAACCAUAGGCAAAAAGGGGGGCUUGAACUCAGCUGCUAGCUUGAAGUUGUAGGGCAUAAUCAAGAGCUGACUGAUUAAAACUAUCAUUUAUUAAUGGGGUGUGGUGAUGACUAUCCACCGAACCCCUUUCAUUAAAGGGCAUUGAUCAUAUUUAAUUUCUUUCUAUUCUACAUUCUCAGCACAUGGAAAAGUCAGAUACAUGACAUGUAGAUAAUUCUAGGGGAAUUUAUAAUUUGAUGUUAGAGUUUUUGCCUUAUAUUGAACUUUAGUACUUGAAUUUUAGAAAAUUAAUUAUUUAG